GUGGCGAUGCGGUAGCUGUCCUCUAGCGGGGGCGGUGCUGGCCCCUCUCACCGCCCCCCACUAUAGCACGUGCGGGCUGGCAGAACGCAGCGGGAAGGAAAAUAAAACAAAGGGCAAGGCAGCGCUAGAGCAGAGCGUGCCCCGGCGGGGAGGAAUGUCACAGGGGUGAGGGGACAGCGGAGGUGCACGGUACCUGGAGAGGGGCGCUUCCGUGGAGAAGAGCAAAAACCCGCAGGGCUGCAGGAGGAAAUCCCUCACGGCUGACCAUGUGUGGAUCUGCUCAGGAGAGAGGUUUCUCUGCGGUCGGAUCUGCCCUUCAGCCCUGCACUGCUAGAGCCUCCUGCUUCUGGGAACAGCGCUGAGAACCCGGACCCAAACGGUGAGCGGAGUCUUCCUUCACCCUUCUCCCACCUGGGACACGGACCUGCUUCUGCCGCCUCGUCUCCUUGCUCCCAUCUGCUGCUGCCGCAGCUGUAAGGGGCCCUCCCCGCUCUCCACCGGGACCGUGCAAAAAAGAGUCUCUAUGACUGUAAAAGGU